AACGAACGCUGGCGGCAUGCCUAACACAUGCAAGUCGAACGAGACCUUCGGGUCUAGUGGCGCACGGGUGCGUAACGCGUGGGAACCUGCCCUUAGGUUCGGAAUAACUCCCCGAAAGGGGUGCUAAUACCGGAUAAUGUCUUCGGACCAAAGAUUUAUCGCCUUUGGAUGGGCCCGCGUUGGAUUAGCUAGUUGGUAGGGUAAAAGCCUACCAAGGCGACGAUCCAUAGCUGGUCUGAGAGGAUGAUCAGCCACACUGGGACUGAGACACGGCCCAGACUCCUACGGGAGGCAGCAGUGGGGAAUAUUGGACAAUGGGCGAAAGCCUGAUCCAGCAAUGCCGCGUGAGUGAUGAAGGCCUUAGGGUUGUAAAGCUCUUUUACCCGGGAUGAUAAUGACAGUGCCGGGAGAAUAAGCUCCAGCUAACUCCGUG
rnacentral:rRNA from 1 species